rnacentral:tRNA from 1 species
AGGGUGUUAGCUCAAUUGGAAGAGCAACAGUUUGCUAAACUGGAGGAUGCAGGUUCGAGUCCAGGCACACCCUU